rnacentral:rRNA from 1 species
GAUGUAUAGGAGCUGACGCCUGCCCGGUGCUGGAAGGUUAAGGGGAUCUGUUAGAGCAAUCGAAGCAGUGAACUUAAGCCCCAGUAAACGGCGGCCGUAACUAUAACGGUCCUAAGGUAGCGAAAUUCCUUGUCGGGUAAGUGCCGACCCGCACGAAAGGCGUAACGAUUUGGGCACUGUCUCAACAACAGACUCGGUGAAAUUGUAAUUCCGGUGAAGAUGCCGGAUACCUGCGACAGGACGGAAAGACCCCAUGGAGCUUUACUGUAGCUUGACAUUGGGU